GAUGAACGCUGGCGGCGUGCCUAAUACAUGCAAGUCGAGCGAACGGACGAGAAGCUUGCUUCUCUGAUGUUAGCGGCGGACGGGUGAGUAACACGUGGAUAACCUACCUAUAAGACUGGGAUAACUUCGGGAAACCGGAGCUAAUACCGGAUAAUAUUUUGAACCGCAUGGUUCAAAAGUGAAAGACGGUCUUGCUGUCACUUAUAGAUGGAUCCGCGCUGCAUUAGCUAGUUGGUAAGGUAACGGCUUACCAAGGCAACGAUGCAUAGCCGACCUGAGAGGGUGAUCGGCCACACUGGAACUGAGACACGGUCCAGACUCCUACGGGAGGCAGCAGUAGGGAAUCUUCCGCAAUGGGCGAAAGCCUGACGGAGCAACGCCGCGUGAGUGAUGAAGGUCUUCGGAUCGUAAAACUCUGUUAUUAGGGAAGAACAUAUGUGUAAGUAACUGUGCACAUCUUGACGGUACCUAAUCAGAAAGCCACGGCUAACUACGUGCCAGCAGCCGCGGUAAUACGUAGGUGGCAAGCGUUAUCCGGAAUUAUUGGGCGUAAAGCGCGCGUAGGCGGUUUUUUAAGUCUGAUGUGAAAGCCCACGGCUCAACCGUGGAGGGUCAUUGGAAACUGGAAAACUUGAGUGCGGAAGAGGAAAGUGGAAUUCCAUGUGUAGCGGUGAAAUGCGCAGAGAUAUGGAGGAACACCAGUGGCGAAGGCGACUUUCUGGUCUGUAACUGACGCUGAUGUGCGAAAGCGUGGGGAUCAAACAGGAUUAGAUACCCUGGUAGUCCACGCCGUAAACGAUGAGUGCUAAGUGUUAGGGGGUUUCCGCCCCUUAGUGCUGCAGCUAACGCAUUAAGCACUCCGCCUGGGGAGUACGACCGCAAGGUUGAAACUCAAAGGAAUUGACGGGGACCCGCACAAGCGGUGGAGCAUGUGGUUUAAUUCGAAGCAACGCGAAGAACCUUACCAAAUCUUGACAUCCUUUGACAACUCUAGAGAUAGAGCUUUCCCCUUCGGGGGACAAAGUGACAGGUGGUGCAUGGUUGUCGUCAGCUCGUGUCGUGAGAUGUUGGGUUAAGUCCCGCAACGAGCGCAACCCUUAAGCUUAGUUGCCAUCAUUAAGUUGGGCACUCUAAGUUGACUGCCGGUGACAAACCGGAGGAAGGUGGGGAUGACGUCAAAUCAUCAUGCCCCUUAUGAUUUGGGCUACACACGUGCUACAAUGGACAAUACAAAGGGCAGCGAAACCGCGAGGUCAAGCAAAUCCCAUAAAGUUGUUCUCAGUUCGGAUUGUAGUCUGCAACUCGACUACAUGAAGCUGGAAUCGCUAGUAAUCGUAGAUCAGCAUGCUACGGUGAAUACGUUCCCGGGUCU
rnacentral:rRNA from 1 species